UUCGAAUCAUUCUGCAAGUUGAGGCCAUUAAUGGUGAACUAUUGCUGAUACUGAAGUUGCAAUAGUGGAUUUUCCAAUGGGUACAUUCCUGCUAUUUCAUUAAACUUAGUGGUACCAGCAGGAUUUCUAACACCUCUGCUAGAAGCCACCUCCUUGGCUCUGAGGAUGAGAUUGGGAGGCCUCAGAGGAAACACUGCAGCUUAAUACAAUUUCACUCAAGAAAGGAAAAGAUGACCAUUCGUACUUCUCAUAUUUGUUGUUACUCAAUUGGGUUUUUGAGUAGAUGAAACCACCUUCUUCAAACCAAUAAAAUCCACUAAGUAAACAAUUUAGGAGGAAACUGCAGCAUUUGACCAGAAAUUUUAUCAGCCCUUUAUGGAUUCAUGUAACCACAAUUCAAGUUCAAAAGAAUAAGGACACUCCCCUUCCUGAAAUGCUUUUAUUUUGUAUGAUAUACUUUCUUCAAGCAUUUCACAUGCUAUAGAGCAAGUCACCUGCUUAAGUGGAAGCGUAUCUUGCAUCAUUAUUGGUUACUUGUUUGUGCUAUAUACCUUUCGGUAAACUGGACACUUUUUUUUGGUACAAAAUCUUUUUGUGUGGUGUCAAGAAAUUAGGCUC